GUCUAUGGCCAUACUCCCCUGAACACACCCAGUCUCAUCUGCUCUUGGAAGCUAAGCAGAGUCAGGGCUGGAUAGUACUUGGAUGGGAGAAACACAAAGCAGUAAGAAAAACUGAAGACA
rnacentral:rRNA from 1 species